UACAGAGGUGGCAAGCGUUGUUCGGAAUUACUGGGCGUAAAGGGCGCGUAGGCGGUUUCGUAAGUCCUGUGUGAAAUCCCCCGGCUCAACUGGGGAACUGCACAGGAAACUGCGAGGCUUGAGUUCGGGAGAGGGAAGCGGAAUUCCGGGUGUAGCGGUGAAAUGCGUAGAUAUCCGGAGGAACACCGGUGGCGAAGGCGGCUUCCUGGACCGACACUGACG
rnacentral:rRNA from 1 species